CGGGAUUUUAUUUGUAGCAAUACCGAUAAAAUCUAGUGGCGGACGGGUGCGUAACACGUGAGCAAUCUGCCGGGAAGUGGGGGAUAACUCGCCGAAAGGCGAAUUAAUACCGCAUGUGGCCAGGGAAGACAUCUUCCCAAAGCCAAAGUCGCAAGACGCUUCCUGAUGAGCUCGCGGCCUAUCAGCUAGUUGGUGAGGUAACGGCUCACCAAGGCUAUGACGGGUAGCUGGUCUGAGAGGACGACCAGCCACACUGGAACUGAGACACGGUCCAGACACCUACGGGUGGCAGCAGUCGAGAAUUUUUCACAAUGGGGGAAACCCUGAUGGAGCGACGCCGCGUGGAGGAUGAAGGUCUUCGGAUUGUAAACUCCCGUCAAAUGGGAACAAGAAAGUGAUAGUACCAUUAGAGGAAGAGACGGCUAACUCUGUGCCAGCAGCCGCGGUAAUACAGAUGUCUCAAGCGUUGUUCGGAUUCAUUGGGCGUAAAGGGUGCGCAGGCUGCGGGGUAAGUCGGAUGUGAAAUUUAGGGGCUCAACCUCUAAACUGCAUUCGAUACUGCUCUGCUAGAGGACUGUAGAGGAGAUUGGAAUUCACGGUGUAGCAGUGAAAUGCGUAGAUAUCGUGAGGAAGACCAGUGGCGAAGGCGAAUCUCUGGGCAGUUCCUGACGCUCAUGCACGAAGGCCAGGGGAGCAAACGGGAUUAGAUACCCCGGUAGUCCUGGCAGUAAACGGUGCACGUUUGGUGUGGGAGGAUUCGACCCCUUCCGUGCC
rnacentral:rRNA from 1 species